rnacentral:rRNA from 1 species
AUAUUGGGCAAUGGGCGAAAGCCUGACCCAGCAAUGCCGCGUGCAUGAUGAAGCCCCUAGGGGUGUAAACUGCUGUCAGGGGUCAGAAAGCUGGUUUCGGCCAGUUGAUCAACCCCAGAGGAAGUCACGGCUAACUUCGUGCCAGCAGCCGCGGUAAUACGAAGGUGGCAAGCGUUAUUCGGAAUCAUUGGGCUUAAAGGGCACGCAGGCGGAACAGUGUGUGUUGUGUGAAAUCCCCCGGCUUAACCGGGGAAUUGCACAGCAAACUGCUGUUCUUGAGGCAGGUAGGGGUGCAUGGAACUCUUGGUGGAGCGGUGGAAUGCGUAGAUAUCAAGAGGAACGCCAGAGGUGAAGACGGUGCACUGGGCCUGUCCUGACGCUGAGGUGCGAAAGCGUGGGGAGCGAACGGGAUUAGAUACCCCGGUAGUCCACGCCGUAAACGAUGUCUACUAGGUCGUGGGUGUUCUGACACAUUCACGGCCGGAGCAAAAGUGUUUAGUAGACCGCCUGGGGAGUACGGCCGCAAGGUUAAAACUCAAAUGAAUUGACGGGGGCUCACACAAGCGGUGGAGCAUGUGGAUUAAUUCGAAGCAACGCGCAGAACCUUACCUGGGUUUGACAUGCUUGUAUGCCUUCUCUGAAAGGAGUUAGGCUGCCUUCGGGUGAAACUUGCGCAGGUGCUGCAUGGCUGUCGUCAGCUCGUGUCGUGAGAUGUCGGGUUAAGUCCUUUAACGAGCGAAACCCUUGCCGUUAGUUGCCAGCGAGUAAUGUCGGGGACUCUAACGGGACUGCCGGUGUUAAACCGGAGGAAGGUGGGGAUGACGUCAAGUCCUCAUGGCCUUUAUGCCCAGGGCUUCACACGUGCUACAAUGGCAAUUACAGAGCGACGCGAUACCGCGAGGUGGAGCAAAUCGCAAAAAAAUUGCCUCAGUUCGGAUUGCAGGCUGGCAAUUCGCCUGCAUGAAGUCGGAAUCGCUAGUAAUCGCGUAUCAGCAAUGACGCGGUGAAUGUGUUCCUGAGCCUUGUACACACCGCCCGUCAAGUGAUGGAAGCCNGGGAGUACCCGAAGUCGGGUUGCUAACCUUUGGGAGGCGCCUGCCGACGGUAAGUUCG